AACGCUGGCGGCGUGCCUAACACAUGCAAGUCGAACGGACAGGGGAGCUUGCUCCCCAAGUUAGUGGCGGACGGGUGAGUAACACGUGAGCAACCUGCCCUUCGGAGGGGGGACAACAGUUGGAAACGACUGCUAAUACCGCAUGAAACAGCUGGGAGGCAUCUCCUGACUGUCAAAGAUUUAUCGCCGAAGGAUGGGCUCGCGUCUGAUUAGAUAGUUGGUGAGGUAACGGCCCACCAAGUCGACGAUCAGUAGCCGGACUGAGAGGUUGACGGAAAAAACCACAUUGGGACUGAGACACGGCCCAAACUCCUACGGGAGGCAGCAGUGGGGGAUAUUGCACAAUGGGGGAAACCCUGAUGCAGCCGACGCCGCGUGAGUGAAGAAGUAUUUCGGUAUGUAAAGCUCUAUCAGCAGGGAAGAAAAUGACGGUACCUGACUAAGAAGCUCCGGCUAAAUACGUGCCAGCCGCUGC
rnacentral:rRNA from 1 species